rnacentral:rRNA from 1 species
UACGAAGGGGGCUAGCGUUGCUCGGAAUCACUGGGCGUAAAGCGCACGUAGGCGGACUCUUAAGUCGGUGGUGAAAUCCUGGAGCUCAACUCCAGAACUGCCUUCGAUACUGGGAGUCUCGAGUCCGGGAGAGGUGAGUGGAACUGCGAGUGUAGAGGUGAAAUUCGUAGAUAUUCGCAAGAACCCCAGUGGCGAAGGCGGCUCACUGGCCCGGUACUGACGCUGAGGUGCGAAAGCGUGGGGAGCAAACAGG